GGGCAAUUAGCUCAGUUGGAAGAGCGCCAGAUUCGCAUUCUGGAGGCCAAGGGUUCAACUCCCUUAUUGUCCA
rnacentral:tRNA from 1 species